GCCGGGUGCAGUGGCGGCGCCCGGUAAUCAAGUUACCGGGAGGCGAGGCUGGAGGAUCGUGUAGAUCUCAGGAGCUCGAGCUGCAGCGGACGAUGUCGAUCGGGUUCCGCGACUAAGUGUCGGUAUCGAAAUAUGGUGCUCCUGGGGGAGCCACGGGACCACCAGUCGUCUAAUGGGAGGGGUGAACCGCCCGGUCGGACAAGGAGCAGUCACAAGCCCCGGCCGCUCAGUAGUGGGAUCGCGCCUGUGAAGAAGACGCUGUAGUGCAGCCUGAGUAACACAGCGGACCCCAGUCUUUU
rnacentral:SRP_RNA from 1 species